GAAGCAGGGCGGAACGAUGUGU
rnacentral:miRNA from 1 species